UUGUAGCCUGCUAUGGUAUAACUUAGUGGCAGACGGGUGAGUAAUAUAUAGGAAUCUACCUAGUAGUACGGAAUAAUUGUUGGAAACGGCAACUAAUACCGUAUACGCCCUACGGGGGAAAAAUUUAUUGCUAUUAGAUGAGCCUAUAUUAGAUUAGCUAGUUGGUGGAGUAAUAGCCUACCAAGGCAAUGAUCUAUAGCUGAUCUGAGAGGAUGAUCAGCCACACUGGAACUGAGAUACGGUCCAGACUUCUACGGGAGGCAGCAGUGGGGAAUAUUGGACAAUGGGCGAAAGCCUGAUCCAGCCAUGUCGCAUGAGUGAAGAAGGCCCUUGGGUUGUAAAGCUCUUUUAGUGAGGAAGAUAAUGACGGUACUCACAGAAGAAGUCCUGGCUAACUCCGUGCCAGCAGCCGCGGUAAUACGGAGAGGGCUAGCGUUAUUCGGAAUUGUUGGGCGUAAAGGGCGCGUAGGCUGAUUAAUAAGUUAAAAGUGAAAUCCCGAGGCUUAACCUUGGAAUUGCUUUUAAAACUAUUAAUCUAGAGAUUGAAAGAGGAUAGAGGAAUUCCUGAUGUAGAGGUAAAAUUCGUAAAUAUUAGGAGGAACACCAGUGGCGAAGGCGUCUAUCUGGUUCAAAUCUGACGCUGAGGCGCGAAGGCGUGGGGAGCAAACAGGAUUAGAUACCCUGGUAGUCCACGCUGUAAACGAUGAAUGUUAAAUAUGGGAAGUUUACUUUCUGUAUUAUAGCUAACGCGUUAAACAUUCCGCCUGGGGACUACGGUCGCAAGAUUAAAACUCAAAGGAAUUGACGGGGACCCGCACAAGCGGUGGAGCAUGUGGUUUAAUUCGAUGCAACGCGAAAAACCUUACCACUUCUUGACAUGAAAAUCAUACCUAUUC
rnacentral:rRNA from 1 species